UUUAAAUUUAAAAUUAAAAUUUAAAUUAGUAUUAGGUAAUUUCUUGAAAAUUAAAAAAUUUGACGGUAUUUUAGUCUUUUUAGAGGAACCUGUUCUAUAAUUGAUAAUCCACGAUUAAUUAUACUUUAGUUUUAAAUUUAUAUAUCAUCGUAUUAAAUAUUUUAUAAGAAAAUAUUAAUUUUUUUUAAAAAGGUAAGUCAGAUCAAGGUGUAGUUUAUAUUGAAGAAAGUAAUGGGUUACAUUAAUAUAAAUAUUGGAAUUAAAUUUGAGAGAAUUUAGUUAAACUGGAUUUAAUAGUAAUUAAUAUAAUUUUAUAAAAAUGAUUAAGCUCUAGAAUAUGU
rnacentral:rRNA from 1 species